GACGUAGGGGGCCAGCGUUGUUCGGAAUUACUGGGCGUAAAGGGUUCGUAGGCGGUGCGGCAAGUCGGGCGUGAAAUCUCUGGGCUUAACCCAGAGGCUGCUUCCGAAACUGCUGUGCUUGAGUGUGGGAGAGGCGCGUGGAAUUGCAGGUGUAGCGGUGAAAUGCGUAGAUAUCUGCAGGAACACCCGUGGCGAAAGCGGCGCGCUGGACCACUACUGACGCUGAGGAACGAAAGCUAGGGGAGCAAACAGG
rnacentral:rRNA from 1 species